GGGCUGAGUGGGAUAUGGCAAUGCUCUCUGAUUGGUAGAGCUGAAAAGGCCAGAAAGCUAUUCUGCACGAUGAUGAGUUGGGCUGAAGGGGGGGUGGGAUCUGCAAUGCUGAGUGGCUGAACUGAAAGGGGUGGGAUGUGGCACUGUGAUCUGAUUGGCUGAGUUGAAAUGGGCUGAAUGUAGUGCUGCGCUCUUAUUGGCUGGGUUGAAAAGGGGUGGGAAGUAGUGCUAUGCUCUGGUUGAACAGAAAAAGCCAGUAAACUGUGCUACGCUCAAACUGGUGGUGGUGAAAAAGGCAGGGGGUAGAUGAAAAGCUUUGUAUUCAGUUACCCACUGUGACUGGACAAACUCUUUGACAGGGUAGAGCUGAGAUAGUUGAAAAACAUCAAGUUCUGUAUGGACAAGUUGUUGAAAAAUCAGCAACAUAGUAUAUAAAAGUACGUGUGUGUGUGUGUGAGAGACAUCAUACUAUAUACAGAUGGACAUGCAGUACUAAAAACAUCUAUAUACAACUAGUUGUCUUCCCCCCUAGUAUUUUAUAUUUAAUAUAUAGAUACAUUAAAGUAAUUGUGUACUUUUGUGCCAGAGAAGAUAUUUGGCACUGGGAGUCCCAGCACCUUGUUUUCCCUCUGCUUGUGGUUCUCACCUCCUCAGCCCUACAGGGCUCCUGUCUGAGCAACGGGAAUGGUAUGGGGGAAAGGGAGUGCUGGCAGGAGGGACUGCUGUAGCUGGCUGGGGAGGGUUGUGGUCUCUCCACAGAUGGAACAGGACUGGAGAAAGGCAGACGAAAAGCUGCAGCAGAGCCUGAUGGACCUGCACAACUCUUGGGCCGUCUUGCAAGAGACAGCUGCGAGGCAUUGUUUUUUUCUGUGCAGGUGAAUUAAUAUUUUCCAUCUGUAAAUUUAGGUGGAAAACUGCAGUUUUCAUUAAUGUUUAUGGAAACAGUGUAAUUGUCCACUCAAAACUGUAGCUUUGUGCAGUGCCUGCCUGUAGAUUUGUUAGGCUCUAAUACUACCUAUUUUAUUGCAUUAAAAAAGAAAAAGCCAAAAAUAAAAUGUGGAGUGCAAGAAAGACAUUUGUAAACAAAUACACUAAAAUACGAACAAGACAGAGGCUGAGAGAAUAUUAAUAUGGCCCUGUGCUUUUGGCUAACAUAAGGACAGCUCUCAGCACGAGGCCUUAGCCUGAAUAAGAUCUUCAGACACCCUUAUCUACCCAUAUGUGAGUAGGUAUUUUUUCAGUCUUACCUGGCAUAAAUGACAGUAUCUCAUGUUUGCUUCAUCAAUGCGAUUCCUGUGGUCUAUUUCCCACGGUGUUUGCAACACAGUUCUAGAGUAGCCCUGGAUUAGCUCUUUUCCCAAUUUUGUCUUGUUUGCAAACUGUUCCAUAUUCGAGUUGCUGUUGUUUUUGUAAGGAAUGGUAGUAGUGACUGAAAACACACUUUUUGAGCCAGUUAUGCUCUGUGAUUGGGUUCUGCUGGAAGAAGCUGCCUCUAAAACUUUGUCAGGGUGGAGCUGAGUUGGUUGAAAAAUAUCACAUGUUGUAGAGAAAUGUUGUUGAUUAACUAGCACCAUAGUAGGACUAAGAGUGUAAAAAAGGAUGUGCUGUCACUGUACAGCACAGUGGAUGAACACUCCAUACUGGAAAGUAUGUGUAUCUGUACAGAAAGUUGUCUUUUUUUUUUUUUUAACCCAUAUUUUCUAUUUAAUGUAUAGAUACAGUGAAGUGUUUGUGUACACUCACACGUUGCUUUGCUCUCUCUUUUACAUUUGUUGUGAGUCACUAAACCCCGGGCUGCCCAGGUCACCUGCCUCCUUGUGUUGUCAAAUUUUCCUUAGGAAUUCUUGCCAUUACCAGAGCAGUAGAUGGCAGAGAUGCUGGCCAUACCCUGAGUGCCUUUGCUUGCCAGAUGUUGGGCUGUAUGGAUUCACUCCAGAAUGUGUGGAGACAUAGCAGCAAGAGCUGGCAGAAGUCAAGAGAAGAAAAAUGCAGCAGUUUUGAGUUGUGCUCUGGAACAGAAUGUACAGCUGGAUCUAGAACAGUUGCCAAAGAGGAGUCUAUGGGCAAAUGGUGCUGGAUUUCCCAGAUGGAGGUCAUAAAGUUCCUUGCAAAGUGUUCUCAUAUUAUUCCUACAUAGCAUUGUAUGUUACUGCUGUACUGAAACUUCUAUGACAAAUCCUUUAUCUGUUUCCCAAAGGUUAUGCUGAGAAGCAUACUUCAUGUUUCGUAUCAAUUCUUCCUUUGGGUCAAAAGUAGACCAAAUCCUUGAAACCACGCCUGGGAAUCCCACUGUUAUUAAACCAGUUUUGCCGUGCUGCCCGUGGUCAGAAUGCCCCGCAGCAGAUCCUGGCAUCAGUUGUGAAUGGAAGAACUGAUGACAAAUUGCUCGAUAUCAGAAUUGAUCUGGUGGAUAUUGACAAGCCUUGGGAGAGCCAGAUGGGAUCUGAAAGUGGUGUGGCCAGGUACAGGAGUUGUUACUACUGUGUUGUUUUUUUUCUUGAAGUUAAAUGUCUGUUUUGUAUUGCAAUUGUUUUGCAACGUUAACAAUUGUUAAUCAUUCCUAGCCAUCCUUGGCUUCGCUGUGCACACCUGUCCAACUGAUACCAGCUUUUUCAUCACCUCAGAGGCUUGCAAAAAAAAAAAAAAA